rnacentral:rRNA from 1 species
GUUUGAUCAUGGCUCAGAUUGAACGCUGGCGGCAUGCUUUACACAUGCAAGUCGAGCGGCAGCGCGGGACUCGGGCAACCGAGCCCUGGCGGCGAGCGGCGAACGGGUGAGUAAUGCAUCGGAACGUGUCCCGUAAUGGGGGAUAACGCCGCGAAAGCGGCGCUAAUACCGCAUACGCUCUGAGGAGGAAAGUGGGGGACUUCGCAAGGAGCCUCACGUUAGGGGAGCGGCCGAUGUCCGAUUAGCUAGUUGGUGGGGUAAUGGCUUACCAAGGCUUCGAUCGGUAGCUGGUCUGAGAGGAUGAUCAGCCACACUGGGACUGAGACACGGCCCAGACUCCUACGGGAGGCAGCAGUGGGGAAUUUUGGACAAUGGGGGCAACCCUGAUCCAGCCAUGCCGCGUGCGGGAAGAAGGCCUUCGGGUUGUAAACCGCUUUUAGCCGGGAAGAAAAGGCCAUCCCUAACAGGGGUGGUUUUUGACGGUACCGGCGGAAUAAGCACCGGCUAACUACGUGCCAGCAGCCGCGGUAAUACGUAGGGUGCGAGCGUUAAUCGGAAUUACUGGGCGUAAAGCGUGCGCAGGCGGUUCGUUGUGUCGGUGGUGAAAGCCCCGGGCUUA